CUAAUAGCUGAGACAGACGGUGUCGGUCCACGGAUCCUUGGGACGUCCCUACUCCAUUGAAGUUGACAUUUAAAAUGUUUAAGAGCCCAUGGAGACUGCAGUGUCUACAUGUCAUUAGUUCCAUGAUCCUACUGACAUCACACUAUCCAGGACACAUCUCCUGGACUGGUAUGACUAGGGGAAUAGAGAGCUACCCUGGAGAGCCAUGCCUGGUUCUUUUCCAACGGUGGCCAACAGUACAGGAUCUUGUAGCAGCUACACUGGAGUACAGGUAUUAUCAGAGCUGGGAGGAGAGAUGCCCAGGACGGUUGAGGCUUUGCUGAAACAGCUGCCUGGAGUGGGCCGCUACACCGCUGGUCCAUCACACUGGGGCAGGUCAGAGCUCCCUCUCUGCGGGCACACACACACAGGCACGCUCACACACACCUUUGCUCUCACCCUUUUGACUGUCUUAACUCCAGAUCUACCUACAUAUGUUUUCAAAUAUUUUUACCCAUCACCUCUUUGAAGUCAUUGUUCACUGACAUGACCUGUGACCUCUGUUGCCCCGGUGACGGGAGCUGUUGGGAAUGUGAUCCGGGUCCUGUGUCGUGUGCAGGCUAUAGGGGCAGACAGUACAAGGUGAGGUUGAGAUCCUCAGAGUUUUUUUCUUCUAAUGGUGACUCUUCAGGGGAUAUUUAACGCUGAUACCGACACCAAUUAUUGGAGGACCAAAAAAAGCAGAUACCGAUUAAUCGGCCGAUUUUUAUAUAUAUAUUUGUAAUAAUGACAAUUACAACAAUACUGAAUGAACAAUGAACCCUUUUAUUUUAACUUAAUAUAAUACAUAAAUACAAUCUAUUUAGUCUCAAAUAAAUAAUGAAACAUGUUCAAUUUGGU